GUGUGCGUGCGCCUCUGCGUGCGCGUGUCUGCAUGUGUGUGUGCGCGUGUGUGCGCGCCGCUCUGCCUCGCCGCCGAUCCUGCCGCCGCCGCCGCCCCUCCCGCCCGAGCAGUCGCGCUGCCCGCCCACGCCCCGGCCCGGCCCUGCAGCGCCCGCCCGCGCCCGCGCCCGGCCCCGGCUGCUCCGGCCCCGGCUGCCGCGCGGCGACAGCAGCUGACUCCGCCGCCGCCGCUGCCAUCGGCCUGGCCCCCGCCCCGCGCCCUUCGCUCCGCUCGCGAAAUACACCGCGGAGAGGGGAGACGAGCCGCGCGCGUGUGUGUGGGCGCGUGUGUGCGCGCGGGGCUGGAUCCCGGCACGGUGGAGCUGACAUGUUUAUUCUAGCACAAUGAUUAGCAUCCCAUGGAAAAUGAGCAAAGCCAUUUGUGUGCAGCUUGCUGUGGUUUUGAGGACCUAAAGGAAAACUAAGAUCUAAUCUUCCUCCCACUAAAGUCAAUGAUAGCUUUGUAAAGGACUUCAUUAGUUUAGGAUCAGUCCCCCAACCUAUAAAGUAGCUCUCCUUGAAGGAAUAAUAAAUUAAACCUUUAAAAAAAAUAAACAACAGCAACAGUACUACUA